UACGUAGGGGGCAAGCGUUGUCCGGAUUUAUUGGGCGUAAAGAGCGUGUAGGCGGCCAGGUAGGUCAGCUGUGAAAACUCGAGGCUCAACCUCGAGACGCCGGUUGAAACCAUCUGGCUAGAGUCCGGAAGAGGAGAGUGGAAUUCCUGGUGUAGCGGUGAAAUGCGCAGAUAUCAGGAAGAACACCCGUGGCUAAGGCGGCUCUCUAGUCCGGUACUGACGCUGAGACGCGAAAGCGUGGGGAGCGAACAGG
rnacentral:rRNA from 1 species